ensembl:lncRNA
GGGCGCAGGGCAAGGAAUGGACUAUAAAGAUGCUUGUGCACCAAAUUCAGGUCUGUAUUCAGGAAUACGCGUCACUGUUUUCCGUGGCUCUGUCAGCUGCUGUGAUUUGAUGCAGGAGAUUUACAAAGGGAGACCAGGUGAAAAAUAAGCGCGGGCAUCUGUCAAAAGUCCAAGGAUGAGUGAAUCAUUGUUUCCUUACAAACAGGAAAGCGUCACAAGACCUGACAGGAUCAUAACCGGAUCAUGUAUCUGCAAAAUAAUUCCCAUCGCCACAAAUCAGCUGCAAACUUCAACUUGUGUUAUUUAGCUUUAACCUGGAAUAAUAUUCACAUUUAUUAUUUAGCAUGCUUAUUAUAAUAAGUGCCUUGGUUUCUGGUUAUGGAUUAGUGAAGUGCUUGUGGAAGUGAUGUGUUUUCAGCUGAUUCUUGAAGGUAGAGAUGUUCUCAUCAGAUCAGAUGAAGGCUGAAUGUUUCUGGAGUGAAGCUUCUGAGGGAACCACUAGGUGGCGCUCAUUCAUUGUUAAACUUUCUCUAUACAUUUAUUCAGUUCAACAAUAACCUACUUUUUCCAUUCAGUUAUCUCAAUAAAUUCAUAGAACAAAUGCUUUGUGACA